rnacentral:rRNA from 1 species
GCAGUGUACCCGCGGCAAGACGGAAAGACCCCGUGAACCUUUACUAUAGCUUGACACUGAACACUGGUCCUUGAUGUGUAGGAUAGGUGGGAGGCUUUGAAGCGUGGACGCCAGUCUGCGUGGAGCCAACCUUGAAAUACCACCCUUUAAUGGCUGGUGUUCUAACGUAGACCCGUAAUCCGGGUUGCGGACAGUGUCUGGUGGGUAGUUUGACUGGGGCGGUCUCCUCCCAAAGAGUAACGGAGGAGCACGAAGG